rnacentral:rRNA from 1 species
AUGAACGCUGGCGGCGUGCCUAAUACAUGCAAGUCGAGCGAACAGAUGAGGAGCUUGCUCCUCUGACGUUAGCGGCGGACGGGUGAGUAACACGUGGAUAACCUACCUAUAAGACUGGGAUAACUUCGGGAAACCGGAGCUAAUACCGGAUAAUAUAUUGAACCGCAUGGUUCAAUAGUGAAAGACGGUUUUGCUGUCACUUAUAGAUGGAUCCGCGCCGCGUUAGCUAGUUGGUAAGGUAACGGCUUACCAAGGCAACGAUGCGUAGCCGACCUGAGAGGGUGAUCGGCCACACUGGAACUGAGACACGGUCCAGACUCCUACGGGAGGCAGCAGUAGGGAAUCUUCCGCAAUGGGCGAAAGCCUGACGGCGCAACGCCGCGUGAGUGAUGAAGGUCUUCGGAUCGUAAAACUCUGUUAUUAGGGAAGAACAAAUGUGUAAGUAACUAUGCACGUCUUGACGGUACCUAAUCAGAAAGCCACGGCUAACUACGUG